AGAGUUUGAUCCUGGCUCAGAUUGAACGCUGGCGGCAUGCUUUACACAUGCAAGUCGGACGGCAGCGGGGUAGUGCUUGCACUACUGCCGGCGAGUGGCGAACGGGUGAGUAACAUAUCGGAACGUACCGAGCAGUGGGGGAUAACUAAUCGAAAGAUUAGCUAAUACCGCAUAUAUUCUGAGGAAGAAAGCAGGGGACCUUUGGGCCUUGCGCUGUUUGAGCGGCCGAUAUCUGAUUAGCUGGUUGGUGGGGUAAAGGCCUACCAAGGCGACGAUCAGUAGCGGGUCUGAGAGGAUGAUCCGCCACACUGGGACUGAGACACGGCCCAGACUCCUACGGGAGGCAGCAGUGGGGAAUUUUGGACAAUGGGGGCAACCCUGAUCCAGCCAUGCCGCGUGUCUGAAGAAGGCCUUCGGGUUGUAAAGGACUUUUGUCCGGGAAGAAAAGCGCGAUGUUAAUACCAUUGCGUGCUGACGGUACCGGAAGAAUAAGCACCGGCUAACUACGUGCCAGCAGCCGCGGUAAUACGUAGGGUGCGAGCGUUAAUCGGAAUUACUGGGCGUAAAGCGGGCGCAGACGGUUACUUAAGCAGGAUGUGAAAUCCCCGGGCUCAACCUGGGAAUUGCGUUCUGAACUGGGUGGCUAGAGUGUGUCAGAGGGGGGUAGAAUUCCACGUGUAGCAGUGAAAUGCGUAGAGAUGUGGAGGAAUACCGAUGGCGAAGGCAGCCCCCUGGGAUGGCACUGACGUUCAUGCCCGAAAGCGUGGGUAGCAAACAGGAUUAGAUACCCUGGUAGUCCACGCCCUAAACGAUGUCGAUUAGCUGUUGGGCAACUUGAUUGCUUGGUAGCGAAGCUAACGCGUGAAAUCGACCGCCUGGGGAGUACGGUCGCAAGAUUAAAACUC
rnacentral:rRNA from 1 species